GAUGAACGCUGGCGGCGUGCCUAAUACAUGCAAGUCGAGCGAACGGACGAGAAGCUUGCUUCUCUGAUGUUAGCGGCGGACGGGUGAGUAACACGUGGAUAACCUACCUAUAAGACUGGGAUAACUUCGGGAAACCGGAGCUAAUACCGGAUAAUAUUUUGAACCGCAUGGUUCAAAAGUGAAAGACGGUUUUGCUGUCACUUAUAGAUGGAUCCGCGCUGCAUUAGCUAGUUGGUAAGGUAACGGCUUACCAAGGCAACGAUGCAUAGCCGACCUGAGAGGGUGAUCGGCCACACUGGAACUGAGACACGGUCCAGACUCCUACGGGAGGCAGCAGUAGGGAAUCUUCCGCAAUGGGCGAAAGCCUGACGGAGCAACGCCGCGUGAGUGAUGAAGGUCUUCGGAUCGUAAAACUCUGUUAUUAGGGAAGAACUUAUGUGUAAGUAACUGUGCACAUCUUGACGGUACCUAAUCAGAAAGCCACGGCUAACUACGUG
rnacentral:rRNA from 1 species